CCUACGGGGGGCAGCAGUGAGGAAUAUUGGUCAAUGGACGAGAGUCUGAACCAGCCAAGUAGCGUGAAGGAUGACUGCCCGAUGGGUUGUAAACUUCGUUUGCCGGGGAGCAAGCGUGCGUUCGUGAACGCGCGUCGAGAGUACCCGGAGAAAAAGCAUGGGCUAACUCCGUGCCAGCAGCCGCGGUAAAACGGAGGAUGCGAGCGUUAUCCUGAUUUAUUGGGUUUAAGGGGUGCGUAGGCGGGAGCACAAGUCAGCGGUAAAAAUGCGGUGCUCAACGCCGUCGAGCCGUUGAAACUGGCGUUCUUGAGUGGGCGAGAAGUAUGCGGAAUGCGUGGUGUAGCGGUGAAAUGCAUAGAUAUCACGCAGAACUCCGAUUGCGAAGGCAGCAUACCGGCGCCCUACUGACGCUGAGGCACGAAAGCGUGGGUAUCGAACAGGAUUAGAUACCCCAGUAGUC
rnacentral:rRNA from 1 species